rnacentral:rRNA from 1 species
CUGAGACACGGCCCAGACUCCUACGGGAGGCAGCGGUGGGGAAUUUUCCGCAAUGGGCGAAAGCUGACAGAGCAAUACCGCGUGAGGGAAGAAGGCCUGUGGGUUGUAAACUCUUUCAAGAAGGAGUNUGACGUAC